GACGAACGCUGGCGGCGUGCUUAACACAUGCAAGUCGAACGGAAAGGCCCUGCUUGCAGGGUACUCGCGUGGCGAACGGGUGAGUAACAAGUGGGUGGUCUGCCCUGCUCUUCGGGUUAAGCCUGGGAAACUGGGCCUAAUAAAGGCCAGGAGACAUAUUUAGUGUGAUGGUUGGAUAGUUUUAUCGGUGUAGGAUGAGCUCGCGGCGUAUCGGCUUGCUGGUGGGGUAAUGGCCUACCAACGCGGCGUCGGGUAGCCAGCCUGCGAGGGUGGACGGCGACAUUGGGACUGAGGGACGGCACAGACUCCGACGGGAGGCAGCAGGGGGGAAUAUUGCACAAGGGGCGCAAGCCUGAUGCAGCGACGCCGCGUGGGGGAUGACUGCCUUAGGGUUGUAAACUCCUUUCGCUAGUGACGAAGCUUUUUGUGACGGUACCUAGAUAAGAAGCACCGGCUAACUACGUG
rnacentral:rRNA from 1 species